rnacentral:lncRNA from 1 species
GAAACAAUGCCUUCCAGCUGCUUCCAGUAAGGUGGGACACGGCAGGACUCCCGUGUUGGACCUCCUCACCCCUGAUCGGAGCACAGGAGGGUCUUUGGAGAUAAUAACGCAUCCAGGUCUCCUGUGGACCCC